rnacentral:rRNA from 1 species
GACGAACGCUGGCGGCGUGCUUAACACAUGCAAGUCGAACGGAAAGACCCUGCUUUUGUGGGGUGCUCGAGUGGCGAACGGGUGAGUAACACGUGAGUAACCUGCCCUUGACUAUGGGAUAACUUCAGGAAACUGGGGCUAAUACCGGAUAGGAGCUCCUGCUGCAUGGUGGGGGUUGGAAAGUUUCGGCGGUUGGGGAUGGACUCGCGGCUUAUCAGCUUGUUGGUGGGGUAGUGGCUUACCAAGGCUUUGACGGGUAGCCGGCCUGAGAGGGUGACCGGCCACAUUGGGACUGAGAUACGGCCCAGACUCCUACGGGAGGCAGCAGUGGGGAAUAUUGCACAAUGGGCGGAAGCCUGAUGCAGCAACGCCGCGUGCGGGAUGACGGCCUUCGGGUUGUAAACCGCUUUCGCCUGUGACGAAGCGUGAGUGACGGUAAUGGGUAAAGAAGCACCGGCUAACUACGUG